CACGUAGGGGGCGAGCGUUAUCCGGAUUCAUUGGGCGUAAAGCGCGCGCAGGCGGGCGUGCAAGCGCGACCUCUAACCCCGGGGCUCAACCCCGGGCCGGGUCGCGGACUGCACGCCUCGGGUUCGGUAGGGGAGGUCGGAAUUCCCGGUGUAGCGGUGGAAUGCGCAGAUAUCGGGAGGAACACCGACGGCGAAGGCAGGCCUCUGGGCCGACACCGACGCUGAGGCGCGAAAGCCGGGGGAGCGAACA
rnacentral:rRNA from 1 species